UACGAAGGGGGCUAGCGUUGCUCGGAAUCACUGGGCGUAAAGCGCACGUAGGCGGACUCUUAAGUCGGUGGUGAAAUCCUGGAGCUCAACUCCAGAACUGCCUUUGAUACUGGCGAGCUUGAGUUCGGGAGAGGUGAGUGGAACUGCGAGUGUAGAGGUGAAAUUCGUAGAUAUUCGCAAGAACACCAGUGGCGAAGGCGGCUCACUGGCCCGGUACUGACGCUGAGGUGCGAAAGCGUGGGGAGCAAACAGG
rnacentral:rRNA from 1 species